AAUUCUCAACCCUCUCGAUUUGCGUCGAGGGUGGCUUGGACUUGGAGGCUGCCGGCGUCUGUCGGCUCCUCUUAAAUGCAUUAGCGAAUUGAUAGCUUUGCGGUUGGUGUGAUAAUUAUCUACGCCUUCAAGCCGCUCUGUAGCUUCGCUUCUAACCGUCCUCGCGGACAACUUUAUCAUUGA
rnacentral:misc_RNA from 1 species